rnacentral:rRNA from 1 species
ACCCGGAGAACUGAAACAUCUUAGUACCCGGAGGAAGAGAAAGAAAAUUCGAUUCCCUUAGUAGCGGCGAGCGAAACGGGAAGAGCCCAAACCAAAAAGCUUGCUUGUUGGGGUUGUAGGACACUCUAUACGGAGUUACAAAGGACGACAUUAGACGAAUCAUCUGGAAAGAUGAAUCAAAGAAGGUAAUAAUCCUGUAGUCGAAAAUGUUGUCUCUCUUGAGUGGAUCCUGAGUACGACGGAGCACGUGAAAUUCCGUCGGAAUCUGGGAGGACCAUCUCCUAAGGCUAAAUACUCUCUAGUGACCGAUAGUGAACCAGUACCGUGAGGGAAAGGUGAAAAGCACCCCGGAAGGAGAGUGAAAUAGAACCUGAAACCGUGUGCUUACAAGUAGUCAGAGCCCGUUAAUGGGUGAUGGCGUGCCUUUUGUAGAAUGAACCGGCGAGUUACGAUUUGAUGCAAGGUUAAGCAGUAAAUGUGGAGCCGUAGCGAAAGCGAGUCUGAAUAGGGCGUUUAGUAUUUGGUCGUAGACCCGAAACCAGGUGAUCUACCCUUGGUCAGGUUGAAGUUCAGGUAACACUGAAUGGAGGACCGAACCGACUUACGUUGAAAAGUGAGCGGAUGAACUGAGGGUAGCGGAGAAAUUCCAAUCGAACCUGGAGAUAGCUGGUUCUCUCCGAAAUAGCUUUAGGGCUAGCCUCAAGUGAUGAUUAUUGGAGGUAGAGCACUGUUUGGACGAGGGGCCCCUCUCGGGUUACCGAAUUCAGACAAACUCCGAAUGCCAAUUAAUUUAACUUGGGAGUCAGAACAUGGGUGAUAAGGUCCGUGUUCGAAAGGGAAACAGCCCAGACCACCAGCUAAGGUCCCAAAAUAUAUGUUAAGUGGAAAAGGAUGUGGCGUUGCCCAGACAACUAGGAUGUUGGCUUAGAAGCAGCCAUCAUUUAAAGAGUGCGUAAUAGCUCACUAGUCGAGUGACACUGCGCCGAAAAUGUACCGGGGCUAAACAUAUUACCGAAGCUGUGGAUUGUCCUUUGGACAAUGGUAGGAGAGCGUUCUAAGGGCGUUGAAGCAUGAUCGUAAGGACAUGUGGAGCGCUUAGAAGUGAGAAUGCCGGUGUGAGUAGCGAAAGACGGGUGAGAAUCCCGUCCACCGAUUGACUAAGGUUUCCAGAGGAAGGCUCGUCCGCUCUGGGUUAGUCGGGUCCUAAGCUGAGGCCGACAGGCGUAGGCGAUGGAUAACAGGUUGAUAUUCCUGUACCACCUAUAAUCGUUUUAAUCGAUGGGGGGACGCAGUAGGAUAGGCGAAGCGUGCGAUUGGAUUGCACGUCUAAGCAGUAAGGCUGAGUAUUAGGCAAAUCCGGUACUCGUUAAGGCUGAGCUGUGAUGGGGAGAAGACAUUGAGUCUUCGAGUCGUUGAUUUCACACUGCCGAGAAAAGCCUCUAGAUAGAAAAUAGGUGCCCGUACCGCAAACCGACACAGGUAGUCAAGAUGAGAAUUCUAAGGUGAGCGAGCGAACUCUCGUUAAGGAACUCGGCAAAAUGACCCCGUAACUUCGGGAGAAGGGGUGCUCUUUAGGGUUAACGCCCAGAAGAGCCGCAGUGAAUAGGCCCAAGCGACUGUUUAUCAAAAACACAGGUCUCUGCUAAACCGUAAGGUGAUGUAUAGGGGCUGACGCCUGCCCGGUGCUGGAAGGUUAAGAGGAGUGGUUAGCUUCUGCGAAGCUACGAAUCGAAGCCCCAGUAAACGGCGGCCGUAACUAUAACGGUCCUAAGGUAGCGAAAUUCCUUGUCGGGUAAGUUCCGACCCGCACGAAAGGCGUAACGAUUUGGGCACUGUCUCAACGAGAGACUCGGUGAAAUCAUAGUACCUGUGAAGAUGCAGGUUACCCGCGACAGGACGGAAAGACCCCGUGGAGCUUUACUGUAGCCUGAUAUUGAAAUUCGGCACAGCUUGUACAGGAUAGGUAGGAGCCUUUGAAACGUGAGCGCUAGCUUACGUGGAGGCGCUGGUGGGAUACUACCCUAGCUGUGUUGGCUUUCUAACCCGCACCACUUAUCGUGGUGGGAGACAGUGUCAGGCGGGCAGUUUGACUGGGGCGGUCGCCUCCUAAAAGGUAACGGAGGCGCUCAAAGGUUCCCUCAGAAUGGUUGGAAAUCAUUCAUAGAGUGUAAAGGCAUAAGGGAGCUUGACUGCGAGACCUACAAGUCGAGCAGGGUCGAAAGACGGACUUAGUGAUCCGGUGGUUCCGCAUGGAAGGGCCAUCGCUCAACGGAUAAAAGCUACCCCGGGGAUAACAGGCUUAUCUCCCCCAAGAGUUCACAUCGACGGGGAGGUUUGGCACCUCGAUGUCGGCUCAUCGCAUCCUGGGGCUGUAGUCGGUCCCAAGGGUUGGGCUGUUCGCCCAUUAAAGCGGUACGCGAGCUGGGUUCAGAACGUCGUGAGACAGUUCGGUCCCUAUCCGUCGUGGGCGUAGGAAAUUUGAGAGGAGCUGUCCUUAGUACGAGAGGACCGGGAUGGACAUACCUCUGGUGUACCAGUUGUCGUGCCAACGGCAUAGCUGGGUAGCUAUGUGUGGACGGGAUAAGUGCUGAAAGCAUCUAAGCAUGAAGCCCCCCUCAAGAUGAGAUUUCCCAACUUCGGUUAUAAGAUCCCUCAAAGAUGAUGAGGUUAAUAGGUUCGAGGUGGAAGCAUGGUGACAUGUGGAGCUGACGAAUACUAAUCGAUCGAAGACUUAAUCAA